CAAGAGACUGUUGUUGUCAUGGUUUGAGUUGUAAUCAAUAUCUAGAGUCUGACCACUGAGCAACAAGAUUUUACAUACUGAUACGUGAUGUAAUCUCUAGAAUAAUCCAGGAAGAUUUUAGCAUCCUUUCUACAUUCUUACCCCAGAAUGAAGACUACAGAAGCCCGUGAAGAACUUACAGCCUGCCUGACAUCAUCUUGCCUACAAACUGAGUUAUUGCUUUGUCCUAAAAAUUAGUUGGUUUUUUUCCCUAUGAGGCUUUUCAGAAAUUUACAGGAUGCCCAUACUUUAAAUGUGUAC
rnacentral:lncRNA from 1 species